UACGUAGGGUGCGAGCGUUGUCCGGAAUUAUUGGGCGUAAAGAGCUUGUAGGCGGUUUGUCGCGUCUGCUGUGAAAAUCCGGGGCUCAACCCCGGACUUGCAGUGGGUACGGGCAGACUAGAGUGUGGUAGGGGAGACUGGAAUUCCUGGUGUAGCGGUGGAGUGCGCAGAUAUCAGGAGGAACACCGAUGGCGAAGGCAGGUCUCUGGGCCACUACUGACGCUGAGAAGCGAAAGCAUGGGGAGCGAACAGG
rnacentral:rRNA from 1 species